UACAGAGGGUGCGAGCGUUGUCCGGAAUCACUGGGCGUAAAGGGCGCGUAGGCGGUGACUUAAGCGUGUGGUGAAAGCUCGGGGCUCAACCCCGAGUCGGCCGUGCGAACUGGGUCACUGGAGCAUGUCAGAGGCAGGCGGAAUUCCGGGUGUAGCGGUGGAAUGCGUAGAGAUCUGGAGGAACACCGGUGGCGAAGGCGGCAUCCUGGACCAACACUGACGCUGAGGAGCGAAAGCCAGGGGAGCAAACGGG
rnacentral:rRNA from 1 species